rnacentral:rRNA from 1 species
GUUGUAUGGUUAAGUGACUAAGCGUACACGGUGGAUGCCUUGGCAGUCAGAGGCGAUGAAAGACGUAAUAACUUGCGAUAAGCCCAGAUUAGGUAGUAAUAACCUUU